UAAUUACCUACCACAAUACCAGGGGGCAGCUGCACCCAAGAUAGAACACCUGAAGGCUAUGGCUACCCACAGAUCUUACAGCUGAAGAAAUUUGUACUUAACUAGAAAAUUUUCAAUGUAAUAUUGAUAUACCAUUUGAACAUCAUGAUGACAGUGAAGACAGAAUGAUGUGCGGUACUCCGCAGACUAAUAACCCGCCGCGUGGGACAGCUGUGAGGUCUCAGGUGCCCUGCCACGGUUCGUGCAGCUGCCUCCGUCGGAGUUAGAUUAAAUAGUGUGUAAGUCUAGGAACUGAUGACCUCAGCAGUUUGGCCCCAAGGAACUUACCACAAAUAUAUUGAAAAAUAAAUAAAAUAAUAACACAAAAAGUCUUCAAGCGUGUGCUAGUACUUCACAAAAUAUUACAGAACGUCAACUAAGAGCUAAUGAGGAAGAGGCAGUCAAUGAAGAAAAUAUACAAACUGUAUCUCUUUAGGUAUGUACUUAGUACUUCAUAGAAUAUGGACGGACAACUGUGCAGUUCACUUUCUUUUAAAUUAUCGUGGAGAUGAAGUAUGGAGAAAAGUAGAAUGAAGAUUGAAGUGAGGGCAAUAACAGUAGUGAGAAAGUAUUAUGGAAGGAUGAUUCGGUUUAAUGUCCCGUCGUCAGCGAGGUCGUUAAGAGACAGAGCACAAGCUCAGAUCAUGUCAAGGAUGGGGAAGGAAAUCGGCUGUCCCCUUUCAAAGAAACCACCCUGGCAAUUGCCUGGAGCGACUUAGAGAAAUCAAAGAAAGACUAAAUCUGGAUGGCCAGAUGCGGAUCUGAACUGUCAUUCUCGUGAAUGGGAGUCCAGUGUGUUAUCCGCUGCGCCACUUUGCUCGGUCACUAACAGUUGUAAACGAUUUUAAUGAACAAGUGGAUGGCGUAGAUAAAGGUGAGGCCUGCGUAUGAAAUACGCCGAAAAUCAAAAAUAGUGUUGGUUCAGACUGUUUUAUGCACUGCUGGAAAUGACCCUUGAGAAUUCCUGUAUUUCAUACUGUGACGUAAAUGAGACACUUCCAUUGAUUUAUUUCAAGUGUAGAACUAUGCUUGGUCUACUCACACUUAGAGAGCAAGUGUCCAAAAAAACAGGGAAGGCGAAAGGGUGUCAAAAUAUUCCUCUUUCAACUCCAAGCAGAAAAAAGAUAGCAUUUUCUGUACUAGAUGAUAUACUUUUCAGAAUACAGUAUCUUACUGGCCAACAUUUGCCAAUUCAAGAGGCAGAUGUGAACUUUGCUCAUCUGCAAAGGUGGAAUAUAGACCCAUUCAAAGUGUUCGGAGCAUAAUAUUAUUUGGUUUGUCUGUUAGUCAAACACUGAAAUGUUUUUGUAAGUAUCACGAGAAGCAAUAAGCCUAGCUGUAUGAUUCUUUUGGGACUUCUCCGUCCCUUAAUGUACUUUGCCUGUGUACCAAUGUCAGGACUUACAAGUCCUUUGAACAUUUUAUGUAUUUUAAUGGCUCUGUAUCAUUGCACAAAUACAAUAAUUUGCUGUUAA